rnacentral:lncRNA from 1 species
AUAUUUAUCUAUAUAAUUUAUUUAUUUUUGACUGCAUAACUGAAAAUGAAUAAUAUGGAGAUUGAAGGCGGAAGAAAAGACAUGUGAGGCUGAAGAGAUUAGAUAUUCAACUCAUAAAUUAUUUUUUUUUAUAUUAUAAUACUAUAUUUCAUAUAAUUAUUUUGUACUUUGAACUAUUAGAAAUAUUUUUGUAUCAAAUUAUAGAUAAUGUUCUAUACAAAUUAAACUAUUGAUCGUAUAAUGUUGAGAAUUUCAAGCGGCUCGUUUAGGGUUCGAGCUCGCUCGACUCGAAAUUAGGCUCGCUCGAGCUCGGCUCGAAUUAAUUUCAAUCCAAGCUUGAGCUUAAAUUUAGGCUCGAAAUUAAUUUCAAGCCGAAUUUGAGUCGAGGUAAGCUUGCUCGAGCUCGGCUCGUUUCCACCCCUAUGCUUUGAUAGGAGGAUUCCUAUGCGGAAUUCUACACUUUCACACUUACACCACGUCAUUAAUAACAAGCCAAUCACAUUCCUUCUUUUCAAACAAAAGUACAAUAAAAAUUAUUUUUUACAAUCAUGAUGGCACAUAUACCCUAAAAUGAGACAUUUGAUUGAUUUGUUACGCCACGUCACCAAUAUAUCUGUUGCAUUCUAGAAUUUGUCGGAUUCCUACAGCCAUGCACG